rnacentral:lncRNA from 1 species
GCAGAAGACCUUUCCAACAUGUUAAGAUCCAAAAGAGUACCUUUUAGUGUUUGUUUUGGUGAUAUUUGCCUGUAACCCAGCAACUCGGCCCAGAUGCCAGGAACCCAAAGAGAACACCGCUGAUGACUUGUGUAGGAAAAGAAAAAGAACUUCUUUUGUGUCCUUACUCGUAUGGUUCUCCUCAAGACCCUUGAAGUCAUCCUAGAAGAGGUUGAAACCACGAGAAACAUACCUGUGCAGAUAUAUUGCUCUGGCUCUACUAGAACUCCUCCCAACCCAUCAGGAUUUGGUGUUACCCUCUCAUCCUGUCAAGAAGUUGCUGCUUCUUUAAUGAAAGUGCAUAUAGCUGGGUGUGGUGAUGUAUACCUAUAAUCUCUAGGAGGCUGAGGCGGGAAGAUCACAAGUUGGAGCCCAGCCUGAACAAGUUAGCCACUUGGCAAGACCCUGUUUUAAAAACGGGUGAGUUGGC